rnacentral:lncRNA from 1 species
UGAUCUAAACGAAUGAGAUUUUUUUCGUUUUGGUGUAUUAUAUUUUGAAACUUUAAAUGUAUUUUCUAGUAUUAUUUAAACAGUUAAUUUAUUUAAAUCUUAUUUAAUUUUAAAUUUGAUCAGUAAUAAAAUUAUUUUUUUAUUUAGUUAAUUUGUGGAUUGGACAGAAUUAAAAAUUUUCAGUCCGCAAACCAAUUCGCAAAAUGGUGGAUUUGAUAUGGAUUUGGUUAAAUCCGCAUCCGAUCCGCAGAUGUAUGGAUUGGAUUUGAAUUGAAUUUCACCAAUCCAUGGAUUGGAUUGGAUUGAAAAUUUAUAAUCCGUAAAAUCGUGGAUCGAAUAUGGAUUGAUGUCCAAUCCGUAAAAUCUGAUCCGCGAACACCCCUACUAACUAGCUUGUUCAUAACUAUCGCCAAUUGAUUGUUCAUUGACAUCUACUUCUUGAGAUUGUGGGUUAGUUCCAUGCUGUCCAAAAAGGGAAAAAAAAGACAUCAAUUUCAUUUAUUAAGAAAAAAGAAUCAAUCUAUUCAAUAUAAUUUCAUGAUCAAAUCAAACAUGUAUAGCUAGUCAUGUCUUAUUGGUUGCCUACACAUCACUAGGAUCACCAAGUUAUUAAUCCAUUUGAUAACAUAACAAAAAAUAUAUAACGAGAUUCAAUUACAAAAUCAGACCUGUGCAGUUGAUUAAGUGAUAUCACUUGCCUGCGCACAAAAAAAAUCACCAAGUCUUAAGCAAUUUAAUGAAAAAGAACAAAAAAAAUCCUUUAGAAUUAAACUUUCAUAAUUAGAUUAAACAUGUCCACUUGAUUAAGUCUUAUUUCUUCCUUGCACACAACCAAUAUCACCAAGUUUUAAGCAAUAUCUAGUGCAAAAGAAAAAAAAAAUCCUUUUGAAUUAAAUUUUUAUAAUUAAAUUAAACAUGUGCACUUGAUGAAGUCCUAUUGCUUCCCUACACAACAUCAUGAUCAAUAUUUGUUAACUUCACCCAAUGAAAUUUAAAAAACAAAAAUGACUCUUAUAUUAUAGCUCUAUGGUUCUUGUGAAUUUUGGAAAAUUAAGGCAGCCCCUUUUGUUGUGCCGAAGACAUCUACAAGCAUUACAUUUGAUAGUAAACCUUUUACUAGUUAGUUUGGCCUCACCAGGUUUUUUUGUUCUUUUUUUUUCGGUCUACCAACUGGAGCCUUUAUGUAAGAUGGUCCAACCUUUACAAGCACCACAACAUCUGAAGGUUCAGCUUCCACUUCAGGCCAUGCACACUCAUCAGGAAUAGGAUUUAUAGUCCCUAUGUAUGUCAUCAUAAAAGAUUCCUUGGUUAGAUAAUGAUGCACAUAAUCUUUAGGUUGCCCUCCUUUAUGAAGAAUAGCAGCUACUGCAUGUUUGCAAGGCGCUCUACUAACUUGCCACAUCCCACAGUCACAGGUACCAUCUGUAAUAUGUACUAGGAAGUUUCUAUAGCCAGCUUGACAACAUUCAAACAACUCCCCUCUACCUCCAAAGACCUUAAUUCUCCUUGUCUCAUUUGAGGAUUGAUUUAGUAUUUCUCUAGCAUAUGGGGUCAAACGGUCUUGCCAAGUUUCCCCUUACUGAUAUUUUUCCAACAUUCUCACCAUUAGUUGUCUACGAAUAUGCUCAAGAAUAGUUAGGAUAGGCUUGUCCCUAACCUCAUCCACCCACUUGUUAAAAGAUUCAGUCAUGUUGUUUGUAACAUGGUCAGAUUUCACAUGGUGAUCAAACCCGCUUCUAGACCACUGUGCAGGUGGUAUUUUUCUCAACCAUUCACAACAAUUUUGGUCUUUAGCCCUAAUUUGACUCAUUGCCCUCUCAAAGUCAUACUGAUUUGCAUCCCUACAAGCUUUCCAGAUUAACCCCAUGACAUUCAAACCAGAAAACUUACACUUCAAAUUUGCAAAGAUAUGCCUAGCACAAUAUGUAGUACUAGCAUUAGGCCAAUAUUUUUCCAAUCCCCAUAAAAGACCUUUUUGUCUAUCACUAAUAAUAGUCACAAGCUUAUGAUUAUCAGCCCCAAUGAAUUCAUACAGCAAAGAUAAAAAAUAACCCCAACUAUCAUAGUUCUCUACCUCACAUAUGCAAAAAGCCAAUGGAAAAAUUCCACUAUCAGUAUCUAAUGCAACAACAGAUAACAAUACUCCCCUGUAUGGCCCCUUCAAGUGACACCCAUCCAAUCCUAUGAAAGGUCUACACCCAGUUAGGUACCCCACUUUAAGUGUAGGAAAUGACAAAAAAAAAAAAAAUCUUUGAAAAACUGGGCUAUUUGACAAUGGCCUAUCAACCUUUACCUUGACACAAGCACCUUUAUUCAUGUUCAGUAGAAUGUGAGCAUAUUUCAAAAGCUUUCUAUAGCAAGCAAUGUGGUCAGCACCUAGGUUUUUUAAUGCAAUUUUUUUUCCUUGUAUAGUUUUUGUUUGUCACAUUCAAUCCCAUGUUUAUCUUUUAACUCGCUCCUUAUGACAUUUACACCAACUCCUGGGUUAGCUUGAAUAAGUUCAGCACAAACUUUAGCCAUCCAAGGUGCUAUUGCAUCUUUGUUAACUAAUUUAAUCUGGCAAUCAUGUUUCCCUUUAAUAUACCUAAUUUUAAAAGUUAUCCCAUCAACCAUCGAUGAAGCAUGAAGUUUCCAAGUGCAUUUUGGAUUGACACAACAACAAGUAUACCUAAUACCAUCAUUUUUAAUCCUAUUUAACUCAAAACCCUCUUGGAUUGCAUAUUUCACCAUAACCUCACUUAAUAAUGCAACAGAUUCAAAGGUAUUUCCUACUUUUAGACUAACUGAACCAUUUAGAUUUGGUUUCCACUCAUUAUCAAUAAUGGAUUCAUACAUAUGUGAGAAAUCAUUCUCUUCAUCGGAUGAGUGGGACAACUAUUGGUAAAGAACUCCUCAAAAACCGAAUACAAUUCACUAUCAUUUGAAAUUAGCUUCCUCUGCCUACUUGUAGUCCAUGACAACAUAACAGAAAUUUCAAUCAAAUCCAUUUCAUUGUGUCCAUACUUAACCAUGACUUCUAAAAUUUCAUGAAACAACCUAAUAAUCUUAUAUUCCUCUGGGUCCCUAUAUCCUAUCUCAUACACCUCCCCAUUAAUUUUAACCAACAAAAAAAAGGUAACAUGGCUACCUGCAUCAAUUUUAAACAAAAAGUAUUGCAUAAAAAACUGGCUAAACUAAUACGAUUUUAUUUAGUAAAGAAUAAAAACUCAACCUAAAUGAAAUAUACAUGUAAUUCGGUUAAAAAAAGUACAAAAGCAAAUUUAAUCUAAUACAUAUAAAAAUAAAAACUGAAAAGAAAAAAUAACCCAGCAACUAUAGAGAAUUUAGUCUAAUAUAUAUAUAAAUUACCACUCAUAAUAACACAUAGAAUUCAAUUUUACAUGAACAAAAAAGCAAAUACAAUGAAUUCAAUCUUAUUAAUAUAACGAUACCAAUUGGUUGAAAUGAAAAUAUUGUACAUAUACAACAACUCAACAUAAGUUCAAUAAAUACAUAUAUAAAUAUGGUGUAUUUGUUCUAAUUAUUAUAUAAAGAGCAAAUUAAAAAAAAGUAUAUUAAAUACAACAUUCAAUAAAAAAAAUCCACCAAUAAUUAAACAUAGUUUGUCAUUUAGAAAAAUAGACUUGAAAAACCUAAUUUUUCACAAAGAUCACUAAAUAUGAAAACAAUUUUAUCAGAAAAUACUUGCAAAAAUCACUUAAAAAUUAGAGUUACUAACCUUUAAGCUCGGCUUCUCUCCAAUACUUGAACUCAACCAAUUCUAACAAAGCUUUGGUCAAAAUUACAGUAUAUUUAUACAAUAUUUUUGGCGUCAUCCCACGUUCUCUCAAUCCCUCCUCUCACACGAAGAAUACAGCAGUUUCUUCUUGAGGUUUUUUUUUUUUCCGCUUGAAAGAACUUUAACUUGGUUAGGUGAAUUGACUUUGCUUUAAACUAUUGCCACCUGUAAGCAAACUAUCUCCACCUGUCAAAAAUAAAAGAAUGAGGAAGGGUUCAAUUGUUCUUUUACUAAACUACCCUCAACGUUGUUAAUAUGUCUAAUUGACGAGUUAAGUUAAGGACUUGAAUGACAUUAGUUUAUACUUGAAAGGAUUUAAUUGAUUCAUUUAGUAAACUUCUGGUCUCUGAAUUUUUUUCUAAAAAUAAUGAGGACUCAAUUAGAAAUUACCCUUUAACUAAUGUUAAAAUUAUAAUAUUUUCUACUCACAUAUACAAAUAAAAUUAUAUUUAGCGCCUUACAAUCUUUUUAUUUAUUAUUUUUCAUAAGUAUUAAAGUAUUUAUUUGUUAGUAUCCAAGAUAUAUUAAUCAACACAAAACACUAAUAUAAAUAAAAAGACAACAAUACCCUUAAAUCUCUCUUCUUCCCACCGUUGUCUCCAUCAUCAUUACACCCACCUUCAUCUUCCUCCAUCAUUAUCAUCUUCACCUACAUCUUCACAGUUUUUAAGAAGAAGAAGAAAAUAUUAUUAUGCUUUCAGAUCCAAAAUCGGCAAAACCCAUAAAAAGAAAAAGAAAAAGAAAAAGAAAAAGAAGAUGAUGAUAAUAUUUUGUCUUCGGAACCAAAAUCAACAAAAUCCCUAAAAAGAAGAAGAAGAAGAUAUUUUUUUUUUUCAAUCUAAAAUCGGCAAAAUCCAAAAAAAAAAAAAUGAUCUUGAGGUUCAAACUAACAUUAAUAAACCCACUUCAUACUUCUUAAAAUAAAUAAUUUCCAACCUCAAAAAAGCUGCACUAUAAAAGACCUAGCUUUAUUCCAAAACCUACCCAUCAAAUUCCACUUAUCCAAUCUCUUUCUCCCUGCUUCAACAACAACUUCAGCAAGCAAAGUCCAUUGUUGCCGCGCCUUUUCAUGAGCAUAAAAGUACUUGAACUCUGCACCUUAUCUAUUUUCUUCAACAUUUUUCAGGAAGGGUAAUUUUGUCCUUCUAAGACUUAUAAACAAAUUGUAAAUGAAAAGAGUACAAGAUGCUCAAGUAAAUUUGACAAUAGUUAAAUCAUAAAAGACAAAAGUUGGGGUACGGUAUAACAAUUGCAGCAUAGGCGGAUCCUAAAGUAUGAUGGCAAUAUUCCCACGGCGGCUCAUACCCAUCGGGCCCCAAUCAAUUUGGGUUCGGUAUAGGC